rnacentral:rRNA from 1 species
GGUUACUGCUAUCGGUGUUCGCCUAAGCCAUGCGAGUCAUAUGUUCUUCGGAACAUGGCGUACUGCUCAGUAACACGUGGAUAACCUGCCCUUGGGUCCGGCAUAACCCCGGGAAACUGGGGAUAAUUCCGGAUAACGCACAUAUGCUGGAAUGCUUUAUGCGUCAAAUGGAUUCGUCCGCCCAAGGAUGGGUCUGCGGCCUAUCAGGUAGUAGUGGGUGUAAUGUACCUACUAGCCUACGACGGGUACGGGUUGUGAGAGCAAGAGCCCGGAGAUGGAUUCUGAGACAUGAAUCCAGGCCCUACGGGGCGCAGCAGGCGCGAAAACUUUACAAUGCGGGAAACCGUGAUAAGGGGACACCGAGUGCCAGCAUCAUAUGCUGGCUGUCCGGGUGUGUAAAAUACACCUGUUAGCAAGGGCCGGGCAAGACCGGUGCCAGCCGCCGCGGUAACACCGGCGGCCCGAGUGGUGAUCGUGAUUAUUGGGUCUAAAGGGUCCGUAGCCGGUUUGGUCAGUCCUCCGGGAAAUCUGACGGCUUAACCGUUAGGCUUUCGGGGGAUACUGCCAGACUUGGAACCGGGAGAGGUAAGAGGUACUACAGGGGUAGGAGUGAAAUCUUGUAAUCCCUGUGGGACCACCUGUGGCGAAGGCGUCUUACCAGAACGGGUUCGACGGUGAGGGACGAAAGCUGGGGGCACGAACCGGAUUAGAUACCCGGGUAGUCCCAGCCGUAAACGAUGCUCGCUAGGUGUCAGGCAUGGCGCGACCGUGUCUGGUGCCGCAGGGAAGCCGUGAAGCGAGCCACCUGGGAAGUACGGCCGCGAGGCUGAAACUUAA